UUAUUAGAAGCUAAAAAAGGAACAACCAGAUCAUAAAAUGAUCUGGUCCAAAAACAAAAUACUCUGUCCAAAAACAAAAUACAAAAAUGAAACAACCAAAAUAAAGGAAAAAGGAGUUGGUCAUCUUCAAGCUUGAGCUUCCAUGGAGGAUGAAGACGAAGUGCUGCCUUGGAGAAGCUGCGUUCGGUUCGUUUCCAUCCCAUUGAAUCCACACAGCUCGAACAACUUAGAUUGAGUCAGAAACCCUAACUAAUACCACUGCAUAGGCUAGGUUGAGCCCCAAAGAGACUGAUACCACUGCAUAAGGAAGCCACAUAUGAGUUCCAUCUCCGCAUAAACAAUAUAUUGCAAUUACAUCCACUUAUGCAAGUAUGCACGUACUACCAUCGCCUUUUGAUAUUUUUUUGUCAUCCUCUUGUUGUUGUUGUUUGUCUCAAUUAUGCUUGUGUAUUGAAAUCCCUGUUUUGGAUGUUUCUAAUUCUAAGAUUGGGAGUUUGUGUUUUA